rnacentral:rRNA from 1 species
UACGUAGGGGGCAAGCGUUGUCCGGAAUCAUUGGGCGUAAAGCGCGUGUAGGCGGUCUCGCAAGUCGGAUGUGAAAGCCCAGGGCUCAACCCUGGAAGUGCACUCGAUACUGCGAGGCUAGAGUCCCGGAGAGGAUGGUGGAACUCUCGGUGUAGAGGUGAAAUUCGUAGAUAUCGAGAAGAACACCGGUGGCGAAGGCGGCCAUCUGGACGGUGACUGACGCUGAGACGCGAAAGCGUGGGGAGCAAACAGG